AAAAAUUGUAGUUUUACAAGAUUUAUAUUCAACGUGACCGUCUGUCUUAUUUGAAAAAAAUUAUGAUUAGUAUUUUAUUUGUUAUUAGAUGAUAAAACAUAAAUAAUAAUUUAUGUGUGACUAAUUUUUUUAAAAGAAUUUUAAAUAAGACGGACGGUUAAACGUUGAACACGCAAACUCGUAACUGCACUUAAA
rfam:Oryza meridionalis cultivar OR44 (W2112) chromosome 6, whole genome shotgun sequence.